ensembl:lncRNA
ACCCCAGCCUCCUUCUUUCGCUGGCCGUCGGAGCCUAGCUUGGGGGAAAAAAAAAAACAAAACCUGGUCCUUCCCUCCACGCCCCAGGAGGACGGACACCCUGCAACCACGAGCCAAAUGAUAACACCCAAAUGCCUGCACCAUUAAAAAUUUAAAAAGCAGCAGCGGCACCCCCAAACCUUAUUAAACAUUCAAAUAGAAAAAUUAAGAUAUUCUGGGCAAAAGAAGUGUUUAGACAAAGGCUGUCUGCUUCAAUUUCCCCGUUAAGCGGGGAACAGGCUGCUCGGAGAGAGACGGUGGAUUCCAUAAAUUAACAGAAAAUCCCUCUUCUCCGGAGCCCAAGUUAUCUCUCCGUUGCCUGCAGCCCUGAUUUAGAAUGGGAGCCGGCUUGUUUACCGGUUUAAUUAAUGCUUCUUUUCAAGCGGGGAGGAGGGGAGGGGAAAUGAAGAGACUUGGUGAUAAACAGGUGUAGCCGGCCUGCAGCGAGCUCUCGGGGCCCGCGGCAGCCUCAUCAGGCUUGACUGGGCAUGACCCCGCCAGCGAAAAAGGUAGAUGGCCCAGUUGGAAGCGCAGUAGGAGAGAUCUUUCUGCCAUCUGGAGACUUCUACACCAAGUUCAGGUUCCGGUCUGUGGAGGACCCAACAUAUGUACAAGCACAAAGUACUCUGCAGAACACAGAGAGAUGUCUUUCUGGAAAGAUUUCUAGACUGGGAAUUAGGAUCCUUCAGUUUCACUGCUGUUUCCACUACCUAUUAACAUAUGACCUUGAGCAAGUCACCUAUUACGGCAGAGCGAAGGUUCCUCACCUCUGAUUGGGUACAUUGCCUACCUGUCCCGCCCAC